GAUCCUGGCUCAGAAUCAACGCUGGCGGCGUGCCUUAUGCAUGCAAGUCGAACGGCCCUUCUUCGGAAGGGCAGUGGCGGACGGGUGAGUAACACGUAAGUGACCUGCCCGGAAGUGGGGGACAACUCGCCGAAAGGCGGGCUAAUACCGCAUGUGGUCGGUCCUGACCUGUCGGGGCCGAUCAAAGCCUUCGGGCGCUUUCGGAGGGGCUUGCGGCCGAUUAGCUAGUUGGUAGGGUAACGGCCUACCAAGGCCAUGAUCGGUAGCUGGUCUGAGAGGACGGCCAGCCACACGGGGACUGAGACACGGCCCCGACUCCUACGGGAGGCAGCAGCAAGGAAUCUUGCGCAAUGGGCGAAAGCCUGACGCAGCAACGCCGCGUGGGGGAAGAAGGCCUUCGGGUUGUAAACCCCUUUUGCAGGGGACGAAGACUGACGGUACCCUGCGAAUAAGCCACGGCUAACUACGUGCCAGCAACCGCGGUAAUACGUAGGUGGCGAGCGUUGUCCGGAUUUACUGGGCGUAAAGCGCGCGUAGGCGGUUCGUUAAGUCUGAGGUGAAAUCUCCCGGCUCAACUGGGAGGGGUCCUCAGAUACUGGCGGGCUUUGAGGGGGGUAGAGGAGAGCGGAAUUCCCGGUGUAGUGGUGAAAUGCGUAGAUAUCGGGAGGAACACCAGUGGCGAAGGCGGCUCUCUGGGCCCUACCUGACGCUGAGGCGCGAAAGCGGGGAGCGAACG
rnacentral:rRNA from 1 species